GACGAACGCUGGCGGCGUGCCUAAUACAUGCAAGUAGAACGCACAGUUUAUACCGUGGCUUGCUACACCAUAGACUGUGAGUUGCGAACGGGUGAGUAACGCGUAGGUAACCUGCCUGUUAGCGGGGGAUAACUAUUGGAAACGAUAGCUAAUACCGCAUAAUAUUAAUUAUUGCAUGAUAAUUAAUUGAAAGGUGCAAUUGCACCACUACCAGAUGGACCUGCGUUGUAUUAGCUAGUAGGUGAGGUAACGGCUCACCUAGGCGACGAUACAUAGCCGACCUGAGAGGGUGAUCGGCCACACUGGGACUGAGACACGGCCCAGACUCCUACGGGAGGCAGCAGUAGGGAAUCUUCGGCAAUGGACGAAAGUCUGACCGAGCAACGCCGCGUGAGUGAAGAAGGUUUUCGGAUCGUAAAGCUCUGUUGUAAGAGAAGAACGGGUGUGAGAGUGAAAAGUUCACACUGUGACGGUAUCUUACCAGAAAGGGACGGCUAACUACGUG
rnacentral:rRNA from 1 species